rnacentral:rRNA from 1 species
UCAGGAUGAACGCUAGCGACAGGCUAACACAUGCAAGUCGAGGGGCAGCAUAAAAGUAGCAAUACUUGGUGGCGACCGGCGCACGGGUGAGUAACGCGUAUGCAACCUACCUAUCAGAGGGGAAGUAACCCGGCGAAAGUCGGACUAAUACCGCAUAAACAGGGGCACCGCAUGGUGAUAUUUGUUAAAGAAAUUCGCUGAUAGAUGGGCAUGCGUUCCAUUAGGUAGUUGGUGAGGUAACGGCUCACCAAGCCGACGAUGGAUAGGGGAACUGAGAGGUUGGUCCCCCACACUGGUACUGAGACACGGACCAGACUCCUACGGGAGGCAGCAGUGAGGAAUAUUGGUCAAUGGGCGAGAGCCUGAACCAGCCAAGUCGCCGUGAAGGAAGAAGGAUCUAUGGUUCGUAAACUUCUUUUGCAGGGGAAUAAAGUGCAGGACGUGUCCUGUUUUAUAUGUACCCUGAGAAUAAGGAUCGGCUAACUCCGUGCCAGCCGCCGC